ensembl:lncRNA
AUGGAGAGAGACAUUCGGAGGCUAGAGCAAGCUAUCGAGGAGAACAUUACCCGCCUGGGAAGCUGGCGAUUGAAGAGAGAGGAAGCUAGCGGCCAUGUAAGUCCUCCGACGGGUCCCGACGGCGCGAGCGCACCGCGGCGGCGGCCCGCUGCGACCGAUGCUAGGGCAAUGCUUGAUGGGCUGCCUCCGUCGACCGACACACCGGGCCCCCGACAGCGAGCAGUGAUGCCUGCAACGCCAGCUAAGGUACCGAAAUAUAACGGGCUAACCCCGCUAGAGCCCUACCUCUCACAAGUACGGCUAGCCGCGAGACAUAAUGGCUGGAGCGACGAAGAGGCUGCUACACACCUAGCGCUAGCAUUGGAAGGGGAUGCACUGCAGGUACUCCUUGACCUAGCCGCGUCAGAGCAGCAUGAGCUCCAGGCCCUCACCAUAGCACUCGAGAGGCGAUUUGGGCAGCGGCACUCCACUGAUCAGAGCAGGGAGCAGCUGACCAACCGGAGCCGUAGGCCGGGGGAGAGCCUGGGCACCUUUGCAGCGGAUGUGUUGCUGUAUGCUCGUCAUGGCUACCCAGAGUUCCCAGCAGCAGCCCGUGAGGAACUUAGCCUGCAUGCUUUCCUGCGAGGACUUUUCCCAGAGCGACUACGCCAACACGUCCGCCUGGCCAUGCCUCAGACUCUCCGUGAGGCGCUCCUUGAGGCUGAAAGGGCCGAGCUUGUGCUCACAUCGGAACCUCACCAGCAGUUGCGCCCCCCAAACUACCCUCAAAUCAGAGCCGCAGACUGCGACAGUGAGGGGGAGGUCGCGGAGAUAUGCCAGCCGCAGCCCUCGGUGCCCUGGAGGCGUCCCCGUCGACCGACCGACCGCUGCUACUGGUGUGAUGAGCGUGGCCACGUGGCGCGCGACUGCCGGGCGCCCGCCCCAAAGGCCAGAGCCAUGUGGCCUCAGGGGGAUGAAAGGGGGAGCGGUACAGCGAGGGGACCACCGCUCCAGCUUCCUGCCCCCCUCCAAGAACGAUGCACGGUGGCGGGCCUAGUCGGGCACCUCAAGGGACUCUACCUGAGCUGCAGUGUGGAGGACCAGCCCUGCCAGGCCCUGGUGGACACGGGGUCCACCAUUUCCCUAAUACGACCUGGUGUAUUUCCUGGAACAUCUGGGCCGCUUGUGAUGGGUUGGUCACCCAUCAACACCCAGCUGAUGACAGUGACGGGGGAGAGAACUGACAUGCGGGGGAAGAAACCGUUGCGGAUCCGAGUGAAGGAUCCGGAGCUAGUGCACGACUUCUGGCUUGCGGACAUCCAAGAACAGUGCAUCAUCGGCCUUGAUCUGCUGACCCGCUGGGGGGCCUGCGUUGACACCACGAAGCUGGCUAUCACUUUUGGUACAGAGACUCUCGCCCUCCAGUGCGGGCAAAAGCAGGGAACCAGAGACUGCAGGCAGACGCGGCUGGUUCAGCACACCAUCGACACCGGCUCUGCUCAACCCACCUGUCUGCGCCCACGCCAGCUGCCCCUCUCGAAACGGCAGGGAGAGCGGGCCCGGGAGGCACGGGGCGUGGCUACUGCUCGGGCCACAGCCGGCGGAGGGGAUGGCUCUCGUUGA